UGUGAAUGCAAUUCUAUCUUUGAAAGACAAGUCUUAUACAUUCUUAGUGUCAAACAUCCAAGUGUGUUAAGCUGGUCUUUCAGAGCAUGAAUUCGUUAAUCGUC
rnacentral:pre_miRNA from 1 species